rnacentral:tRNA from 1 species
GGAAUGUGACUUAGUGGUAGAGUGCUUGCUUAGCAUGCAAGAAGCCCUGAGUUUGAUCCCUCAGUACCA